ensembl:lncRNA
GUUUUCCUUCUACAGACACUGCCAGCCAUAUCAUAGCACAAAAUAAAAACAUUUUACGUGUUUUUUUUAGUAUAAUUGAAACGAAAAAAAUAGAUCUCAAAAGCUUUUCUGUUUUUAUUGUCCGCUACGUUUAUUGUCAUCGACCAAAAUGCCUAUUUUAUUGCAUUUUGGGAAAACGCAGUGGGCGUCUUCUUUGAAAUUAUCCUGCGUUGCAUUGAUGGUAUUUCUGGCCUGUCCAGUGAAUUCCAUGGAUGUGCUGGUGCCACCACAGAUCCUCACUCUCAAUGGGACUGAUGUCAGAAUCCCCUGUGCAUUCACUUCAUGCUACAAACUGGACCCCAGCAAGUUUGCCAUGAACUGGACCUAUCAGGAGACAAGCAACAGUACAGAAGAAAUUUUCAUGACCUAUAAGAACAAGAUAACACCCUUGAAGUCGACCCGAUUUGGAGAUCGAGUCAUAUUUUCUGGAAACCUGGAUAAGAACGACCUGAGCAUCACUAUCUCAAAUGUGCAGUUGACAGACGAGGGCAUCUACAACUGCUAUGUGCGCAACCCUCCAGACCGCAUUCGGGGCCACGGCAUCAUUCAGGUCUUCGUCCCGACUGAAUUGCCGCCACCAAGAGAUUCGACCAUUGCUGUUGCCAUUGGGGCAUCUGUGGGGGGAAUUCUAGCUUUGCUCAUUCUGUCCAUGGUAGUGGUGAAGUGUAUUCGCAGACAUAAGAACCAGGAGCUGAUCUCAGAUGAGCAGAAGAUGGAGGAAGAGGGCAAAGCAGAUGGAGAAGGAGGCACAGAAGAAGCAACAAAGUAAGAAUUUCUUUGUUUCUUUUUUUUUUUUCGUAAUAAAGAGUUAUUCUCUAUAAACAAACUGCUAACUUUGAAUCCUGAAACAGACAGCCCUAACCGCCAUCUUAGCCCUGGAGGUCUAACGGAUGGUGGAGCUCAAUCCUACACAUUCUGGUAAAAAUAAUUGCUAGCAAGUGUGUUUUGGUGGGUCAUGUGACUGUGGUUGACAGUAGCCCUUUCAAGUUCUCCAUCUUCGUUUCAUUAGCCUGUUCUUUAUGUUUUAUGAGUUCGGGACCCGAAUUACCUGGUUACUAUCAAUAUGUUUGUAGUCUUGCUUUAUCUGGUUGGGUUCUGUAAUGUCUUUGUGCUUGUGGUAUGUUUGUGGUAUUUUUUUCUACAUAACUGCAAAUGACCUGCACUUGCAACAAGUUCUUUUAACAUAUAUAGCCAAUAAUCUUACUUUUCUUAUUUUUUUUCAAAUACCAAAGUUGUACCUAUAAAUAACCUGUAUAUACCUACUGUACAUAAAAAAUGGCAUUCUAGUUGCUUGUCAAUUUCAGUUACAAAAAGGGCAAUUAACACAUUUAAUUAAAUGUGACAUUUUGAAGUAGAAAAAAACUGAAACAGUAUUUUCUAAAAAUAUACUUCAACAAUCAGUUUUAUAUACAUAUUGUGCAACUGUACAGAUACUGUACCUCAUUGGUCACAAACUCAAUUCCUGGAUGGCCACAGCUCUGCACAGUUUAGCUCCAACCCUAAUCAAACACACCUGAUCCAGCUAAUCAAGGCCUUCGGGAUUACUAGAAACUUCCAAGCAGGUUUAAUUUGGAGCUGGUUGGAGCUAAACUCUACAGUCAUGGCAGUGACAUAAAUUUUGUGUUUUGCAAAGUUUGCUGCUUCAGUAUUUGUAGAUUAAUUUUCCACAUGUUUCUAUGUUAUACUGAAGAACAAUAAUAAUUUACAGUGUUGACCCUUGUUCUUCAUAACCUCUGCAAUUAGUUCUGGCAUGCUGGAUAUUAGCUUCUAGACCAAAUCCUGACUGAUGGUGAUCCAUUCAGUUCUCUGAGUUGAUCACAAUUUGUGGGCUUCUGCUUGUCCACUCGCCUUUUGAGGACUGACCACAGGUUCUCUAUGGGAUUGAGAUCCGGGGAGUUGCCUGGCCACAGAUCCAAAAUUUCAAUGUAAUGAUCUUCGAGCCACUUCUCUAUCAUUCUUGCUUCGUGACAUGGUGCUCCAUCAUGCUGGAAAAUACACAGAUCAUCACCAAAUUGCUUAUGGAUCGUUGGAUGAAGUCGCACUUGCUGGAAGUUUUGAUACCAUUGUAAGAGAGCCCACUCCCUUGGUUGAAAAGCAACCCUACACAUGGAUGGUCUCAGGAUGCUUCACUGUUGGCACAACACAGAACUCAUGGUAGCAUUCACCUUUUCUUCUCCAAACAAUCGAUUUUCCAGAUGUCCCAAACAGUCGGAAGGUAGCUUCAUCAGAGAAAGUAACUUUGCACCAGUCUUCUGCUGUCCAAUCCUUGUACUUCCUGCAGAAUUUCAAUCUGUCCUUGAUGUUUUUCUUGGAGAGAAUUGGCUUCUUUACUGCCCUUCUUGACACCAGGUCAUUGUCCAAAAGUCUUGGCCUCACUGUGCAUGCAGAUGCUCUCACACCAAUCUGCUGCCAUUCCAGAGCAAGCUCUGCACUGCUGGUGACACGAUUCCAUAGCUGACUCCUCAGGAGGAGACAGUCCUAGCGCUUGCUGGACACUCUGGGACGUCCUGAAGACUUCUUUACUGCAGUCAAACCUCUCUCCUUGAAGUUCCCUAUCCAAAGCUACUCUUGAUGCUGCGCUCAAUAGCGCUAAUGAGAACAUUCUUUGUUCAACCGGUUGUUAGCAUUUGUGUCAGACACGCCAAGAAUUGGCUUAAAUAACCUCAGCAGGUGAUGUCAUCUGAUUACGUGAACCUGAGGGUUAUAAAUAGACAUAAAACGGACACAUCUUGAGGUUUCUUUGUCUUCAGAGACCGCACUGUGUGUGUGUGUGUGUGUGUGUGUGUGUGUGUGUGUGUGUGUGUGGCAUGCUGCUGAAAGCAGUGUAGUUUAAAAGGAAGCAUGUUGAGAGUAAAAAGUUUAAGUUUAAACAACUUACUAUUCUUGUUGACUGAAUCUGUAAGACAUGUGUGCCUCGCUCUUCAUGGCCGAUCUCUGAAGAUAAAUCGUGUCUCUAUUGUUUGGAGUUUUGGGAGAAAAGCAAGCUGCUGUCACGUUCUAGAGCGGCAGAUGUGAGCACCGCGGUUCACUUCCUAUCCGUGCUAGGCUCUUUUCUCUCACGAGGAACGAGCUGUGCCAGGGCACUUCUUCAGAUCGGGCAGAGGUUGGUUCAGCUCUUGCUUCUGUUGAGAUGGACAUUAAAAGUGCUGCCUCCAAACGCUCCUCUCGCGAUUAUAAGCAUAUGAGGAGUUACUAGGUGGUGACUCGUGUAGUGACCAGAUUAAAGCCUUAAAGUGAGAUAUCUUGUACAUUAUGUUUUCCUUGACGAAAGGGACACUAUCUCUCCCCUAGAGGAGCAUCAUCGCUUUUUUCAAAAAAAGAAAAAAAAAAGACAGCCAAUGCUCCCUACCAAACAAUGUAGCAACAUCUACACGUGGAGGGAAAGCGUUACACGCUGUGGGUCAGACUAGUGCUGCCCUGCCCACAUGGGGGUUCUGCAGGCAUAUCAGGCUGAUCUUCUUAAAGAUCUGAGUGCCAGGAGGAGGCUUUCAAUAAGUUUCUCACUCACUGUGCUCAAGUGUUGGAGCUGUCUAGAAGAAAAAAAAGCCCAGUCCCGACCCGGUCCAGCUCCUCUGGGGCAGGAGGUUCAAAGAGAGAGUGUGGCGAGUCGUGCGCCCCCUCGUAAAGACUGGGGAGCAGCUUGUAGCACUUGACAGCCACAGAUGAAGAUGGACCUAAGAACGGUCAUUACGACCAAAGAAAGGGCCUGAAGCUGUGCCCAGGACAAAGGGUGUGUCCCCUCAGGGAGGGCCAUGGAAAAUUCCAACAGAAGUUUAGGGCUCCUUCCUGGCACCCUUAGGGGAUCACUGUAACCUCCGCCACCACAGGCCACCACUGGUGUUUUGGGGGGCAGCGAUCUCCAGUGAAAUGUUACAUGUUCGGUUGUGCCUUCAGUGUUUCAGGACACCAAACAUUUACAUUCCCCCCAGCAGAACCAGUGUCACGAUUAGUGCCCCUUCAGAGAAGUUGGCAGUGUGGAAGCUACUGCCAAAUAUCUCCCUGUGGGUAGAAGGGACUGUGGAGAAAGGCUACAGGAUUCAAAUUGUGUAUCGUCCUCCGUGUUUCAAUGGCAUUGUCUCCACUUCCGUGUAACCAGAACCUGCCAGUUCCCUUGCCAGACAGACAGUCAGGCUAUUGCAGCUGGUAUUUUCUCAUUCCCAAGAAAGAUGGGGGGUUGCGUCCAUUGUUAGAUCUUUAGAUGACUGGUUUGUGACUAUCGAUCUAAAGGACGCAUAUUUUCACAUCGAAAUCUUGCCACAACACAGAAAGUUCCUGAAGUUUGCUUUUGGGGGCGGAGCUUACCAGUAUCAGGUUCUUCCAUUCGGCCUAGCUUUGUCACCCUGCACGUACACAAAAUACAUGGAUCUAGCUCUGGCUCCUCUACGACUCCAGGGCAUCCGCAUUUUAAAUUGCAUAGACGACUGGCUGAUUCUGGCUCAGUCUCAAGAGCUUGCGCUUCGACAUCGGGAUGUCGUCCUAGCUCAUAUUGAAAAACGUUCUCUCUCCUGCUCAGAGGACAACGUAUUUAGGGGUUGAAUGGGAUUCGAUCACAAUGCAGGCACAGCUGUCUCCUGGAUGCAUCGAAUCCAUUCUAAAUGCCCUAAAGAACAUCUAGCUAGGCCAGAAUAUUACUGUUCAUUACUUUCAGAAAGUUCUAGGUCUCAUAGCAGCUGCAUCCACGGUGAUAGCUUUGGGCCUCUUGCACAUGAGAUUGUUUCAGUUGUGGCUCAGAGCCAGGGGAUUUCAUCCAAGGGCCAAUCCCCGAAGGUGAAUAACGGUUACACGCCAGGGGCUUCAUACCCUAUCUAUGUGGUUCAGACCCCGGUUUCUGACUUUGGUUCCCACUCUAGCUCCGUGUUGUCUUCGCAAGAUGCUAACAACAGACGCUUCCCUCAUGGGUUGGGGUGCGGGCUUGGAUGGCCGUCCAGCCCAAGGGAUCUGGAGAGGUCAUCUUCUCGAAUGGCACAUCAAUUGCCUCGAAAUGAAGGCUGUAUUUCUGGCCCUGAAAUACUUCCUCCAGCAGUUAAGAUGCUGCCAUGUCCUAGUGUGGGUGGACAACACGGCGGUCGUCUCAUAAAUAAAUCACCAGGGUGGACUGCCGCAGCAGGUUCUACUUUGGGCACAGGACAAGUUCCUGUCCCUCAGGGCGAUUUACAUCCCUUGGCAUAUGAAUGUGGGAGCAGACUUGCUUUACAGACAAGCUGGAAAAGCCAAAUCUGGGAAAUAUUUUAUGAAGCUUCACAGGAGACGGCACAAUGUCCCCUCUGCUUCUUUCUGUCUUCUCAAGCUCCCAUAGAUCUGGACGCCAUGGCCCAUAAUUGGCCCAAAUGGGGUCUUUAUGCAUUUCCCCCGAUCGCUCUGCUCCUGGCCAAGGUCCUUCAACAUGGGUUUAGCCUCUUACUGAUAGUGCCCCAUUGACCGACCAGAGUAUGGUUCUCAGAUCUAAUAUCCCUCUUCGAUGGCUCGCCAUGGGCGAUUCCAGUCAGCAGAGAUCUUCUGUCUCAGGCGCAGGGGACAGUAUUUCAUCCCUGGCCCGAGCUCUGAAACAUUCACAUCUGGCCCCUGAGGGGGACCAACUAAGAGAUGCUGGCCUUCCAGCCAAUGUAAUAGAGACUAUUCUAGUUGUCCUCAGGCACAUGCCCUAGUACUCUCAGAACCUAUGUGGCCGCUUUUUCGGCUAGCCAUGUUUUGAUUGACGGGGUUUCUGUGGGAAAGCACCCUCUAGUCGCCCAUUUCAUUCGUGGAGCUAAGCGGUUGAGGCUGCCCACUAGAGCUACGGUCCCUUCAUGGGAUUUAGCCGUAGUGCUCGAGGGGCUGGCUGGCACCCCUUUUGAACCAUUAGAAUCAGUGCCUGCCAGGCUUGUGACUCUAAAGAUGGUUUUUCUUAUGGCCAUUACUUGUUUAAAGAGAAUUGGGGAUUUACAGGCUUUGUCAGUCCUGCCAUCGGAGUUUAAAACACCGGAGCAGCAAAGACUUCAUUUACUGUGUCCAGUACGUGCUCUUCAGAUUUACAUCCACCGCACUAGCCAGUGGUGUAUGUCAGAGCAGCUUUUCAUAUGGGGAAAGAAAGACCAAACUAUGUCACUUUGGGUGAGGGAUGCUAUUGCCUAGCCUACGAGGCGCAUGGUCAAGCUACGCCUCUAGGAGUUAGGGCCCAUUCAACCAGGGGGGUUGCAACUUCUACGGCUUUAGCAAGAGGUGUCCCCUUGCAGCAAGUGUGUGAUGCGGCAGGCUGGUCCUCUCAGCACACAUUUGUCAGAUUAUAUAGUUUGGAUGUUCAUGCUUGAGUCAACAUCCCAGAGUCAUGUCUGAGACCUCUUCGAUGUUUGUGUGCACACACUACACAACCUUGGGGGUCCAGAAACUUCCAGUGCGGCGGCUUUGGUAUUCUUGUUCCCAUUAGCGCUAUUGAGCGCAGCAUCGAGAGUAGCUUUUGAUAGGGAACGUCUCAGGUUACUUGACUGUAACCCUGUUUCCUGAAAAAGCGGGAACGAGAUGCUGUGCCUCAAUGACGCACUGUCGAUGUGCCUGGAUGUCUCUUCAGACAAAAAGGUAACCUGAAGAAGUGUCCAUUUCACGUCUAUUUAUAACCCUAUAAGGGUGAACGUAAUCAGAUGACAUCACCUGCCGAGGUUAUUUAAGCCAAUUCUUGGUGUGUUUGACACACAUGCUUCACAACCGGUCGAACAAAGAAAGUUCUCAUUAGCGCUAUUGAGCACAGCAUCUCGAUCCCGCUUUUUCAGGGAACAGGGUUACAGUCAAGUAACCCGAGACAUUCUUGAUGAUCCGGCAAAUGGCUCUUUCAGAUGCAAUAUGCUUUGUAGCAAUUUCCUUGCAUUUGAGGCCAUUUUGAUGCACAGCGAUGAUGGCUGCACAUCUUUCUUUGGAGAUAACCAUUACUAACAAGAAUACAAUGAUUGGAAGUGCUUCUUCCUUCCUUUUAUAGCAAUCAGUGUGCUCUUACAAUCUAAUUAGUAUGACAGUGAUUUUACCUGACUAGAACUCAUUCACACUUUCAUGUGCUGCUGAUAUGAUUAGUCAAUUAAUGUUAGCUGGUCAUUUUGUGUCAGAAUCAAAAAACUUGCCAAUGAAGCAUUUAGCAAUUAUUUAAAAUGCAUCUGAUCACUCUACACAAUAAUCUAGAAACAAUGUUAAUGAACACCACAACAGCUUAAGCAGGAAACUUUGUAAAACACAAAAUUUGUGUCACUGCCAAAACUUUUGGCAACGACUGUACAGAGCUGUGGCCCUCCUGGAAUUGAGUUUGCAACCACUGCUGUACAUACUGUAAACUGUUAUAUAAAAAAAGUUAUGGAGGAAUGUCUUCCUAUAUAUAUAUAUAUAUAUAUAUAUAUAUAUAUAUAUAUAUAUAUAUAUAUAUAUAUAUAUAUAUAUAUAUCAAAACUUUAGAAUAGAUUUUAGAUUAGAUUCAACUUUAUUGUCAUUGCAAAUGUAAGGUACAAGGAUACGAAGUGCAGUGUUUAAAUAUGUAAAUUGAUAUGCAUUUUAAGCACAUUUAAAAGUAAUGAUGCAAGUGAAUCAUUGUUAUCGGUGUUUGGAACCACUUCAAAAAUUAGACAAAACUGACUCAGAAAUUAAACAAUUUUUUCAACUUUCUUGACAUUUUAGUACAUACUGUAGGUCCUGGCAAAUGAAUCAGAUUUUAUUUAAAAGGAGAAAGAAAUUGAAAUUAAAAAUUGAAAUUGAAAAAAAAGAAAGAAAAAAUAUCAAAAUUUAUCAUAUUUGCCAAGUCUAAUGGUAUUUUCUUUUUUCUUACAACAUAACCACAAAUGGAAAUCAUACAAAAAAUCAAUCAAUGUUAAUAUUCAACCUGCUGAUUGAACAUUCUCACUUUUUUUUUCCAUUGUCUUUCUUUUUACCUUUCAG